rnacentral:rRNA from 1 species
UAGGUUCUUUACUUUAGUCAGCAGGGGACGGAAGCAGAGGGGAGAGGAAGGGAAGCUGACGCUGGAGCUAAAACUUAAGAGAGAAGGCAGGAGUUAAGAGGUGCUUUGGGAUCGGAGGCGGCUGGAGGCGGUGGCGGUGGUGGUGGUGGCCGGCCGGUAUGCGGCGCCGCUGAUGGGAGGUUCUUCGACGGGCAGGUCCGGGUCUAGCUCGGGGGCGGAGGGGCGGCUCGCGGCGUGGCGGCGGCGCCCUCGGUCCCUCGCGGCAGGGGCCAGCGGCGCGCGCCGGCCGGCAGCGGCGGUCCCUGAGAGUCAGGACUCCAUGGCUAAAGCUUAGGGGGCCGCCCGACCCAACCCAACCGGGCCAAGCACGCGGAACCAGAGGGCGUGCGUUCCAAAGCAAUCCCAAAUGAGUACCCGACCCUAGUCCGCGGGCGUCGGCACCUAAAGGACUAGACAUACGACAUUAAAGUGGAGCUAGCGCAGCGUGCGAACGAACAACAACGCUUAAACAAAACGAGCGCAGCAGACUAAACCGGCACCAAACGAACCAAGGUAAGUCAACCAGCGGCAGCCAGUUCGUGGACUCUGGACUAGAAGGUACCUAGAGAAACAACCUUACGAAGGCAUGUCCGCUAACCCAAUCCAGUCGACGGCGUUCAGAACGUUUACACAGUGAUCAUAACGAAACAGGGUCGUAAAAGGGCUCAAUUCAAUAGACUGCUGGAUUCGACAUACGUAACGAACACCUUCUACUAGAGACUUACGACUCUGGUGCAAACCGGGUUACAUAUACUAUGUCAACGUAACGUGGACAAUGAAGAUUAGACGGUAAUUAAGUUUAUACGAAUGUUCCCCGAUCAGUAUGGAUCGUAAAGAGUCUGAUCCGAUUCAGACUAGACCAACCAUACGAGAACGAGAGUCGAUCGUCGGACAAGGUCAACUGAGUAAAAUUAAUGAUGACGUAUCGUAAAGUCUGGAACCGUAUUCAAUGUGAACUGUUCUCAUAGAACGUGUUUAAGACAGAAGACACAAUGACAAGUAAAGAUUUAGACCAGGGUCAGAGUCCGUACCAAAUAUCAGAGUAUAUAUAACAUAAAUAUGUAGAGACACCUCGAAUUAAACUAGGAUUUAUUUUCUACGAAAUUGUAACCACCUUGGAAUGGAUUACGAGAACAAGAGGACAAAUGGUCGAAGUCGAGAUCAAUUAAACCAGAUAACAAUAGGGUCUUCGACGUUACUGCCUCUAGUUCGACGGCUUAUAGGUCUUUCGAUGUAGUUCACUAGUGACCUCAAACCGGUCGUUGGUCAUAGGUAGACCAUUUAAAGGAUUCCAUAGUUAACCGUAUGAAGUAUGUUCCAGUUCAAGACGACGACGACGACGACGGGGACGUAAGCUCUCCUUGGACAGAGUCUCUUGACUACCUUCUAGAUCUGGGGGCUUCCGCCUAUUACGAAGUGAGGCCCAGAGUGUUCUUCGACGUUUGGUACCACCUAGACGAUGUCUCCGUGGACUUCGGCGGGUACAAUCCCAAAGAGACAGUGUUGAACUACUGGUACGUGCACUCGUUUGGCCUUGGAAAAGGAAACCUUGUUCUUUUCUUGUUCCGUCGGUCGAACUGGUUGACGUCUUCUGUAGGAAGCAGUUAAGUGUUCCUUUCGCGGUUCACCUUAGACGUCUAUUCUGGUUCAGGUUGUCGCUUCACGAGUCCUACUUCGACGCCCCCUAGGAACCAUGUAGUGUUUGGUUCGUCCGACAACGAAGUGGUUUGGGACUUCUGUAACUCUGUGGACUGGUUGGAUUUUCAGAUCGUUGGUUACCUGGUAGAAGUCCCUAGUUCUUCCAAAUGUGCAGUGCAAAAGGACUAUAAUAGUUCUGUGGACUAGACGAGUUGACAGUUUGUCGAUGGAUACGUUUCUCGUUUGGUAGGAGACUAGGUUAACUCAGUCUAAGACUAUGAGGUGUUCAUCAACUUCACUCCGGACAAUGAGCGUGGAACCCAGCGUUCUUUCGUGGUCGUCGGAGGUUCUUCGUCCUAUUCUUGGUCUCACGUUUCUUUGGUAACAGAUGAAGUGCAAGACGUGGGUUUGUCUUUUGUGACCUGUUACAGAAACAAAAACUACUCUUUACGUGUGGGUUUUGGCACCCCUUUAGACGUUUACCAUUGAGAGCGACGAACUCUUUAGAAUCUUCGAGUUUAUCCUUCCGAUUUCAUCUCGAAUUCUUCCAGGUAACAAGACUGUUCUAAAGACUGUUCUAGUGUGUCCUACGAUCCCUUCCUGUCGAUAGAAGAUCUUUACGUCGUAGUCUCUUAUUCCCUCUCUUUUGGUGGAGGAAAAGAAGUAACAGGGCUUGACCUUUUUGACGACUCUCGGUAAGAUCUUCGGGAUGUUGCCUCUUUGCCGACUUACCUUACCGAUUUCAACCCGAAGUCUUCUACGUCAACAGUCUCUUCAACGACGGGUGCUGUGACUUACUCCCACUUCUAUUCCAGAGAAGCGUCUUAUAAAGUAGUUUUUCGUUCCUUUUAAUAAGAAGUAACGACGUGGCCUUCCUCUUAAGAUUAAACUCGUUUCGAAGUCUGUCUUCGGGAGUCCGUGUAUUUGGUCGCCCCUUAUGAAAAUUGAACGGUGGUAGACCGCGACGAUCAGGUAGUGGACUUGGCUUUUACAUAGGUACCCCGUUGCUCCGUUCAGGGGUCUAUUUACCAUUUGGUAGACCGCGACGAUCAGGUAGUGGACUUGGCUUUUACAUGGGUACCCUGUUACUCCGUUCAGGGGUCUAUUUACCGUUUGGUAGACCGCGACGAUCAGGUAGUGGACUUCGCUUUUUCAUGGGUACCCUCUUGCUCCGUUCGGGGGUCUAUUUACCAUUUGACCCUCUCUUCAAACGGUCAGGUAACCGUCUGUCUAAGUCUCUGUACCCUCUACUGAAACGUUCAGGAUGAAAACGUUGAUUACAUUUACCGAUGGUGUGAUCUUCAUUUCACGAUGUACUACUGUGUAUGUCGGGGUUCAUAGGUUUUUCACACUUGUCCAGUUCUAGUUCAAGGAAACGAAGACUAGGUCCCAGACUCGGUAACCUGCCCUACCUAUUUUGGAUACUCAAUGGAUUUUCACUUAGAGGAUUAAGAAGUCUUCUUUCUCUCUUGUUUUUCGUUGGUAUAGAAAGUGGGUAAAACGGUUGACUUCUACUUUACCGAGUUUGAAGAUAAGGUUCAAAACCCUUUCCUAUAUCUUGAGCGUCUACCGAAAGUCUACAUCUGUCAGGACUAUUUAGAGGAGGUCUUUUAGACCUAUCCUUUAGUGUAGAUUUUCUCCCAUUUUCUUCGUUUGCCGCGAAUGGAAGCGGACAAGGAAAACGGUGAAGACCUUGUGUUCUUUGAUAUUACAGUCUGUUUCUUGGGCACGUUACGGGUCUACUGAUGGAUUUGUCCCGAAAACUACUCAAUGACGACCACGACCCUUCCAAAGUUUGGUUCUAGUUCAGACUUUGUUCUUUAUCUUCAAGACUCUAUGACCGUCCAUGACCUCUCUAUUAAGCGGUCGUGGAGCUCCCUCAACUCCACGUCUACGUCCUACUACACCUAUUCGACCAGUUACGUCCUUUUAGAUUUUCCUUCGCUGAUUUGAGUUGUAAACUUCUCGUUGUUCUUGUCAAUGCCCAAGAAGUACUCUUCAAAUUCCUCCUCCAAUUGGUCGUCAACGAACCAACGUUCUUGAGAGAGCUCCUUAAACUUCGGAUAGUACGUCUUGAAUUCCGUCAUCGACUCUUCGUUUUUCGUAGUGUGUUCUUCGAGGAGGUUGUACGGCUCUCGUCUCAACCAAGAGUCGAGUUGCUACGGCUUUAGUUUUAGCGCUUCCAAGUCUUCUCUCGGGCCUUCUUCUACUUACCGGACUUUGUACACGAGUUCCUCGAGUAGUGGCUGUGGCGUCUAACUAGUUAGAGUGGACGAGAUGUCUUCAUGAGGGAGACAUUUCUUUAUAUUCUCACAAAUCACUAGAUUUGCGAGAAUAUAAAGAAAUGCCUCCCUCAACUAUCGAUUCCGCUUUGGACAUCCCAUAUAUAUCUUCCUACCACGGUCUUGCGUAUAGACCAAGGAAACGAAUGUCAAAUGUCAAACUUCUUGAUACGGUUCGUCAUCCUCCGAUAGGCAUCAAUGUUACGUAUGGCAAAGUGGCAGAGAUGGCAAAACGCAGUCACUUAGCGAUUGAAUUGGCACGGCGCAAAGAAAUUUACUUAUUACAGGACCAUAACAAAGAACAAAGGUCUGACUCAUUACAUUACUAGUUCAUGUCUCAGCGUUUACGAAUUCAAUCUAAACGACGGUACACUUACACUACCAAAUUUAGUUCACAUGAGCAGACCACUGUAUAAACUAAAGAAAGACGG